rnacentral:rRNA from 1 species
UACGUAGGGGGCUAGCGUUGUCCGGAUUUAUUGGGCGUAAAGAGCGUGUAGGCGGCCAGGUAGGUCUGCUGUGAAAACUCGAGGCUUAACCUCGAGAUGUCGGCGGAAACCAUCUGGCUAGAGUCCGGAAGAGGAGAGUGGAAUUCCUGGUGUAGCGGUGAAAUGCGCAGAUAUCAGGAAGAACACCCGUGGCGAAGGCGGCUCUCUGGGACGGUACUGACGUUGAGACGCGAAAGCGUGGGGAGCGAACAGG